GAAGGACCUAGUUAAGGUGAACAACUACCUCAGGAAGAGGUUUCUCGAUGUCGCCCUGGCUAUACUCACUUUGGCAUGUAGAUCAUGUUGGCUUCAAACUUAGAGAGCUCUGCCUGCCUCUGCUUCCCAUGUGCUGGGAUUAAGGUGUGAGCCAAGGAGCCCAGAUACCCCUGGAAGACAGAGGCGUCAGAUUCCCUGGAGUUACUGUUACAAGCUAUGAUCUUGUCCCAGUUCCCUUGCUGGGAAUAUUCAAGAAGCUGAGCUUCCAAGGAGGCACCUGUUACGGUGCCAAGCAGCGCUGAACAAGGGACUGGAAAAUGAACAGCCAGAGACAUUCUAUGGAAAAGAGAACAAACAACACAUUAUUUUUAAACCUCUCAAAUGCAAAGAAGCAAGAGGUUUCUUUUCCCUCUCUUCUUUCUCCCAAAUGGAAAUCCUCUCAAAACAACAACCUUCAACCCAAAAUGCCAGAAAAUCUGCCAUCCACAGCAUUCACUGAAAACAGCUAACCUCCACCACACACCCAGGAGCCCAAAGGUUAAUAAAAAAACACAGGUGAUCUAUUUCCCACCCUCCUGUUUCAAAAAUCAAUUUAUCCUGAAAAGUAGUUUCUGAGUCUGGUGAGCACCCCCCUCCCUACUCUCAAUUACGAGAGACACUGCUCCCAGACUCUUCUGUGCUGCUGGGUUGUCGGGCACCACAGAGGAUCUGAGGCUCUUUAAAGGCUUGCACUGACCUUUAACAUAAAACUGAAUUUCAAUUCUUUCAUUUCCCUCCACAGGUUUAAUUCAGGCAUUUUUUUUUUACACUUUUAUGGUUGUUUGAAUAGAAAUGCCCACCAUAUGCAACCCAGCACUUGGGAUGCAGAGGCAGGCAGAUAUGUAUAAAUUCAAGGCCAGCGUGACCUACUGAGUGAGUUCUAGGACAGUUAGCCAAGGCUACACAAGGGAAACUCUCUUGAAAUCCCCCUGAAAAGAAAGAACACAAGAAAAAUAAAAUAUCCCCUGUAAGGGCUCAUGUUUGAAUGCUUAAUCACCAGAGAGUGGAACUACUCAAAAAGAUUAGAAGUAUUGGAAUAUGCAAUCUUGUUGGAAGGAAUUUGUGUACCAUUGGGUGUGGGGUGUCACUGAGUGGGUCACUACCUUCUUGAUGGUGAAGGGAAUUGACCCCAACUGCUUACACAGGCUUAGUAGUGCUCUACCACUGAGCUAUAUUAUAUUCCCACAGUUUUCCUUUGCUAUUUUAUCUUUUAAAACAGAUCUUAAAAGUUGCUUAGUCUAGGUUUGACCUCUUUAACUCAGGCAGGCCUUCAACUCCCAAUGUUUCUGCUUCAGUCUCCAGAAAGAGCUAGGACUAUAGACACCUACCCCCAUACCCAGUUUUAGAUUUUUUCCUAUUUGGAAAACUGUCUUCAUUAACAUAGUAGACCCUCAAUAUCUGAGAAAGAAUGGCUUCAGGACUCCCUCCCCACAGAUGCCAACCCAAAGUCAUAGAUGCUCAAGUCUCUUAUAGAAAAUGGAAUAGUAUUUGCAAGCAACCUAUACAUAUCUUUCCAGUGAACUUAAAAUGCUACCUAGAUUACCUGCAAUACUAAAGAUGACUCCCAUGCAGUUGUUAGGCUGCACUGUUUACAGAAUAAGGCCUAAAAAGUCUGUACAUUUUCACAACAGAUGCCAUUUUGAGGUGAAUCAGUGUGAUUAAUAGUAUUCACUUUUGACCUGAAAGAAACUAGAAUUAUCUCAGAGAUGCACACCCAUGGGAGAUAAUUUUGAUAAUGUUAAUUAAAGUUGGAAGAUCCACCCAUGGCAGAGAGUGCUGUUUCUUUGGACUGAGAUGCUUGGCUAAAUAAAAAGAAGGAAGUUUCCAAGAUCAGCUCAGGGCAUGGGCUCAGACCCACCAAAUUCAGACACUAUUGUGGAUGCCAAGAAGUGCUUGCUGACAGAAGCCUGAUAUGGCUGUCUCCUGAGAGGCUCUGUAAGAGCCUGACAUAUACAGAGGUGGAAGCUCUCCGCCAACCAUUGGACUGAGCACGGGGACCCCAAAGGCUUACUUCGAGAAAGGACUGAAGGAGCUGAAGGGGAUUGCAACCCUAUAGGAAGAACAACAAUGUGAACCAACCAGAGCUCCCAGGGACUAAAACACCAAGGGGUACACAUGGAGGGACCCAUGGCUCCAGCUGCAAAUGUAUCAGAGGAUAUCCUUGUCAGAGGCCCUUGGUCACAUGAAGGCUCAAGGUCCCAGUGUAGGAGAAUUCGAGGACAGGGAGGUUGGAGUGGCUGGGUGGAUGGGUGAGGGCAACCCUUAAAAAUUCAGGAGGAGGUGCAGCUGACCCUUGCAAAUAAAGUAGAUCUUCCCAGGCCACUCUAAAUCCUUCACUAACAUAGCCUACCUCCCCUGAGCUCUGAUGUAAUUAUGGUUUGUCUUUUAAAAUGCUAUAUCCCUGACCUUGGACACGUUGGAGCCUUUUUAGAGGCAGGAGGGGCUUCUUGGUCUAGCCAUUAAUAAAACAAG